rnacentral:lncRNA from 1 species
UUACUAUAUUACAUGCAUUACCUCGCUAAAUCACCACAUUAGAACACUUACAGGCCGACUGUGCUGCUUUGUCUGAAUCCAGAACAAAGGAUCGGCCCUUAAGGAGGCUGAUGCGAUGUUAAAGCCCAUCACUCUAAAAUUGGCACCACACCUGGGAAGAGCAGGCAGCACCAUCACUGGCUUUCCUGUUCAAGAAUGACACCUGUCAAUCAGGUUUCUGACACAUCCAUCAUUUGUUAUGUUUAGAAAGGGUGGACCAUCCAUGGCCUUCAUAUCAACGUAUGAAAACCAACAUACUCUCCAGCAAGCUCUACAGCUAUAUGACCCUUAUCCAUGGCAAGUCCCUGGGGAAAAUUAUUCCUUAACAUGGUGUUGAAUGCUGACAAAGUACAUCAGUCAGCUUUGGCUAGCAAAGUUAAGGCUCUGUACCUCUGCUCCACAUGUUUUCUGCAACCUGAGAUGCAGGUCUCACGGCUCAGGGAAAAGAGCACUAUGAAUGAACCAUACAAAGUUUUUUAAAACUUCUGCACAC